UGCCUACGGGGGGCAGCAGUGAGGAAUAUUGGUCAAUGGGCGAGAGCCUGAACCAGCCAAGUCGCGUGAAGGAUGACGGCCCUAUGGGUUGUAAACCUCUUUUGUCGGGGAGCAAAGAGAGUCACGUGUGACUCAUUGAGAGUACCCGAAGAAAAAGCAUCGGCUAACUCCGUGCCAGCAGCCGCGGUAAUACGGAGGAUGCGAGCGUUAUCCGGAUUUAUUGGGUUUAAAGGGUGCGCAGGCGGAGGGGCAAGUCAGCGGUCAAAUUGCGGGGCUCAACCCCGUACUGCCGUUGAAACUGCAUC
rnacentral:rRNA from 1 species